rnacentral:rRNA from 1 species
AACGAACGCUGGCGGCAGGCUUAACACAUGCAAGUCGAGCGCCACGCAAGGGGGGCGGCGGACGGGUGAGUAAGGCGUGGGAAUCUACCCAUCUCUACGGAAUAACGCAGGGAAACGUGUGCUAAUACCGUAUACGUCCUUCGGGAGAAAGAUUUAUCGGAGAUGGAUGAGCCCGCGUUGGAUUAGCUAGUUGGUGGGGUAAAGGCCUACCAAGGCGACGAUCCAUAGCUGGUCUGAGAGGAUGAUCAGCCACACUGGGACUGAGACACGGCCCAGACUCCUACGGGAGGCAGCAGUGGGGAAUAUUGGACAAUGGGCGCAAGCCUGAUCCAGCCAUGCCGCGUGAGUGAUGAAGGCCCUAGGGUUGUAAAGCUCUUUCACCGGUGAAGAUAAUGACGGUAACCGGAGAAGAAGCCCCGGCUAACUUCGUGCCAGCAGCCGCAGUAAUAC